UUUUACCAUAGGAAACAAGAGCAUCUGAUUAUCAAGAGAUCUUUUUUGGGUUACCUGAUGAUCAUGUCACUAUGUGUGUCUCAUUGCUGUGUGAGGAAGUUAUUGGUUUUGAACUAUAAUGCUUUGAUGUAAUGAAACUGGACAUCCCAGGGAUUACUGUAUUGGAGUGGGGCUUGGUGGUGUUGACAUCACUGCACUGGAGCAGCCAGGCUGAAGAAUCGUCCCUGCACCUACUUGACCCCUCUGGAGGCUGAUCAGGUCCACCAAAGAAAACAGAUGGAAAGUCAAGUGGAGUUACAGCAGGUUGAAAGUACCUACUACUGAAUGUCUGUGAACUCUGCUGAAAUGAUGCCAUUUGAAACCAAUUAACCACCUCGUCUAUACAUCUCUCCCAAAAGCCUUGAAAUAGAAAAUAUCAGUCUCCGUUGCCUUUCCUCUGUGUGCUUGUGUGUGUGGAAGGGCAGGGGGAAAGGAAGGAGACCGAUCUAAAGCCCUUGAGAAAUUAACUGUGGAUUCCAAAAUACCACAGGAUGCACACUCAAAAAAGAUUGACUUUAGAAAGUGAGUAAAAAAAAUCCUAAUAAUCUCUAUUUAAAUGAAAUUGUCACAUUUUGCUAAUGAAUAUGCUCAAAAGUGCUUAUAAAACAUUUUAUGUGAAGUGAGAAUAUUAAAUUUUUAUAGAUUAUAAACAUAUUAGUGCAAGAAGCUACCACAAGGGGAUUUCCUAAAUGGAAAGCUCUACUUCCAUAAGUCUCUUUCUCUUAUACCAGUGCCAGAGCUUUAAUCUUUUUAUGCUGAAAAACAAGUACCCCAAAAAUACUAAAGACAACUUAUGGCAAUUUUCUCCCUUUCAUCUGAGGUAAAAAAUCCCUACUUCUAUGAAAGGGAAAAAAAUGGUUAAAAUUAAAUAGUUUUCUUCCUUAAACAGAUAUUCAAGCACCACAUUUAUUGCAUUAGCUACGCAUCAGCUGCACAAGCCAGCCUUGCUUCCUGGAAGGAAUAGUCACUGUCAGUUUGCAUUUAGCAGUUAUCUUGAUCCUAUGGAUUUAAGCUAGUUAAAAUGGUAGUAGAUGGAAAAGCUGACAUUUAGGCAUCCCACACAGCCUAACCCCUCCUGUAUUCCAUGAAGAAUAGGAGAGAGCUGGUCAUGGCUGCAGUUCUUCUGAUAAUAUUUACCCUCUAUGGCUAUGACAUUUAACAGUAUCAGUCCUCUACAGUGCAUUAAAUAGUUACGUGUCUUGUCUCCACUGGCAAUCCCACCUCUCCCUCCACUCCCAAUUUCAGUGAUUAAUGGCAAACCACCACAUGUAGACAGAGAAAGCAAUGAUUUAUACCAGUGAAGCUUACCUUUGCUUGAACCUAGGUUGAGUACAAAUCAUGGGUUUCCUUGUUUGCUAUCUCAAUUGUUAGCUACUGAUUGCUAAAAUCAGGGCCAAUUUGAAAUCUAGACAAGGCCAGACUUGUGAUGAAAUAAACUCCUGAAAACUUUGUAAAAGCUAGAAUUUAUUUUUACAUGCUACAUCUCCACACAGAAAUAGGUUGUUCGAAACAAACAAAACUACAAACUUCUUUGCCAAAAUGGAGUGCUGCAGAGGGAGCACACCGAGCACUGAAAUGGUGAGGCUUAGGGCAUCUCAUCUUACUUGAGCAACCACUUCCAACAGCCUAGGAAGUUGUAUUAAAGGCUCUUGGAGACUCCAUGGGCAGCCUUCAUCAGCAUGAAGGGGUAAGACACAAAUUUUCAUAUGCGUGUCUGCGUGCACACACACACACACAAAGAGAAGCUCCAAAGGAUCUCACUUUCUCCAGCCCACUCAUCCCAUUAUCUUCAAAAUUUUACACUCCAAUUUUUAACAAUUACAUGGUACGUUAGCCAUAUGGCUUCCUUUGACUUUCAUCGGAGGCACUGAUAACUCCAUGUAGGGGUGGAUUCUCCCUAUUACUCAUCUGAAUGUGAAGAAACAAGGUUUUCACUGAAAAAAUAUAUUUCUAGCCAUCAUGAUAGCAAAUAUACCUUUUGAAUGUAACACCUGCUGUGCUGCCAGAAUCUGCAGACUAUUGUAAAAUAAAUCUAAACUCCCCUAUUCAUCUCAAUGGGGCCUUAAAUCUCAAUACUAAUUCUGAAGAACAAUUUGUCAACAUUGUUAACUAUUUAUUUCAUAGAAAGGGGCUGUGGUUCAUGUGACACACACUCUCUCUUUCUCUCCAAAUUCCAGUUUGACAUAUUCAGAGUCCUAUAGCAUCUGAUAAGUGCCCCUCUAAUGCAAACCUAACCCAUUUAAGAAAUGCUUAGGAUAGGUUGCAUCCGAUUUUACAACUAGGCCAACUGACAAACCUGACCAAUUGACACAAGAAAACAGAUCUGGCAAAGGAUUUCCUGGUGUGCAUUAAUGGAAGAUUUGUUAUUUGCAGUCAGCUUAUUCAAUCAGUCUUAAUAAGGCUGAUAAGACUAGUCAGCUCCUGUACAAUAUCUAUACUUGCUCUGGAAUACUGUGAAGCCCCAUUUUGUGGUCAGAGACUGACCGCUCAGAAUGAUAGAACCUUGCAUGAGAUUCUUCUGAGCAUUUAUUAAUAGAGAUGAGUUUUGGAGAACCAUAGAACAUUGACUUCACUGAGCUUACUAGGUUAGAAAAAGGAGAUCCUCAUGAGACACAUCAACAAUUGGAAGACUGGGAGAUUAAAGAACUGACAAAGGAAUAAAAGGAAUGAUCCCUUUCUUAGCUUACUUGCACAUCAUCAUCAGAGAGGAUUUCCUCUACUUUACUGAAUUGAUUAUAGAAAUGGAAGAGGCAUAGAAAAGAAGAUAUUGACUGAGCUGUGAAUUCGAUCAGUGGAUCUCAGUGUGUUUGAGAGUUAGAGCAUUGAAGGCAUAAAUGCAAUAAAUGGAUUGAGCUCAAGCACUCAUUCACAACUGCACUGUGUAUCUGUUGUAUAUGGCAAUCAGUAAAUCUAGCAUGGCUCUGACAAUUCACAGUUGUUGGAAUACAUUUGCAAAAACAACAUUAAUCAAUAAUCCAUCCAAAAAGGUAAUCUGAGCCCAUGUGCUCAACCAUCUUUUAUAAAGCUGCAGCUAGGUAGUAUACUGUUCCCUCCCCGCCACUGUAAAAUUCUGGCCAUGCCAUUGUAUCACAAUUUAUUGGUUUUGCAGACCUCAAAAAUAUGGUAGGUACUUCACAAACUCAGAAAGAGAUAAUGUCCUGCCUUGACAAGAUUACUUCAAAAAAUAAACACAAAAUUAAUGUUUGUAAUGAAAAUGGUCAUCAAAACCUGGUGUGGUUUUAAAGUUUACAGAAAUCCAUUCGCUGAGUGAAAAUAGGAAAAGAGUGGAGGUUGGACCUAGAUUC